AGUGAACGCUGGCGGUAGGCCUAACACAUGCAAGUCGAACGGCAGCACAGUAAGAGCUUGCUCUUACGGGUGGCGAGUGGCGGACGGGUGAGGAAUACAUCGGAAUCUACUUUUUCGUGGGGGAUAACGUAGGGAAACUUACGCUAAUACCGCAUACGACCUACGGGUGAAAGCAGGGGAUCUUCGGACCUUGCGCGAUUGAAUGAGCCGAUGUCGGAUUAGCUAGUUGGCGGGGUAAAGGCCCACCAAGGCGACGAUCCGUAGCUGGUCUGAGAGGAUGAUCAGCCACACUGGAACUGAGACACGGCCCACACUCCUACGGGAGGCAGCAGUGGGGAAUAUGGGACAAUGGGCGCAAGCCUGAUCCAGCCAUACCGCGUGGGUGGAGAAGGCCCUCGGGUUGUAGCCCUUUUGUUGGGAAAGAAAAGCAGCAGGUUAAUACCCCGCUGUUCUGACGGUACCCAAAGAAUAAGCACCGGCUAACUUCGUG
rnacentral:rRNA from 1 species